rnacentral:tRNA from 1 species
GGUUGUGGCUCAGUGGUAGAGUGCUUGCCUAGCACAUAUGAGGCAAUGGGUUGGAUCCUCAGCACCA